ACAAGUUAGUACCGAGCAAGAAAGCUUUGAAGUUCAGUUCUUCUUCUUAAAUACUUGUGUUCAGCGAGCUACAAGUUUGAAGGACUCAGUAUGGGGACUAGUGCCAAGACGAAGAGGAUGAACGUUUCACAGGUUUCCUACCACGCACUCGUGGUGCGAAAGCUUUAGUAAGGAGUCAUGAUGGAUAAAGCAGAGAUCGCGGCUACAAAUCUCAUGAAACACCGAGCACAAUUAGCCGGAGCGUUGAAAGUUUACACGAACUUGGACGCAUCUUUUAAUAACUGUUUUUUAUAACCGAAAGAACUAAAGAUGUGAUUGAUCUAAAACGUGCAUUUGGUUAUUCAGCAUUUAAUACCAUUUAACCGGAGAGGAACAAUUUUGAACGAGUUAUAUAAACGACGACCUUUUCCGACACUAAAGGAAAAUCAGAUGAAAGUUGGAAGAAUUUUCCUGCAAAAGAAAGAAAUUAUAGGAUCAUAUGGGAUAAUUCACAGUUUCRUACGUCUUGAUAUCGGUAGUUGCAUGCUAUAAAAACCAUGCUAGUGUAAGUAUUAUUGUAAGCAAUCGAUUUCAUACAAUUAUUGACGUUUAGUAUCAUUAGUUAAAUAGUAAUUUUAGUUAUCAGUUUUAGCCAAUAAGAUUAUGUUCGUUUGACAACUGUCAAUCAAAGUAGACCGCAUGGUCAUAAGUUAGCGUGGUUUUGUAAACUACUGUGUUAUUCGGCGUCGCAAGACAAAGAUAAAGACUCUCAAAAUAACAAUCUGUUGGUAAGAU